GGAAAAUCCCAAUGAGUCAAAUUCCAAGUGUAUAGUUCUACAAUAUGAAAAUCAUCUUGCCUUGGAAUAGAAAGUAAACUUUAACCAAAACUUAGUCUCUCUUGGAUUGGUCAUCCCAUCAGCUUCAAAUUUGACAGAGAAGAAACUAUCUUUUAUGAUGCUGGAUGUGGAUGCUGCGAUCUGCUGGGUUAUGGCAAGAGUUGAGCUUUUGGUGUGUGGACUGCAGGGCAGCUUACUUGCUCCUCCUCUUAAUCUAAGUUUUGGUGGUGUUUACGCCUAAAUAUAAGUUUUGUAAUUUAUUUAUUGUAAUUAUUAUAAUAAGAAAUGAGAUUAGCAAUUUAUUAUUCAGUGUUAAUUAUGUUGCCUUGCCUACGAGGGCUCACCCGUGUAACUUCAGAUAUUUUUCACAUUAUCAAUAAUACAGCUUUUCCUCUCAAAUCGUUUCUGUCCACUCAGAAAGUGAUCGUCUCACCGAAUGUUGCACAGAACAAGAACAUAGAAGAGCGCAACUAGAAGUAAUGUUCCUAAACCAUAUCCUUCAGCAUCAAGGCGAGAGCUUUGUCGCUGAUUUGUAAAACCAAUGCAAACAAGAUAGAGCAGAAGCAGAAGUAAUGCCUUCAAUCCAUAUCCUUCAGCAUAUUGGGCACAGCUACUGCAGGUUUGAUGCCCUGAUGCAUAACCCACUCCAACCAGGUACAGCACAAGUAGAAGUAAUGCUCCCAAACCAUAUCCUUCUGCGUCCUGGGGACAACCACUGGUUUGCUGCCUUGUCGAACAACACAUGCCAUAACUUGUACAGAAUGUAGAAAUCAAGUUUACAAGCACAAACAGUAGAAGAGGAAGCAACACAAUAAACCUUGGACCAUAGACGAUCAAUCCUAGGACACCCAGCAUUAGAAAUGGCACCAAUGGUGAUGGCCCUCCACUAUUCUCCAUUGCUGUUUUGCUCUCUCCUGCUAAAGUGGGCAGAGAAGCACAAUGUUAUUGAGGAUUAAAGAGAUGGUGAUCUAAUUAUUUUCUUUGAUUUUGUGAUAGAAACAUCUAAUAUAUUUUACUUUAUAUAUAACAAAGAAUUGGAUUCAAGGCUAACCACAAGUAACAAACUCCAAAAUGAAAAUUUGUUUUCAAGCUUUAGAAAAGUUUGCAGAAUGAAGAGCACGUUUUUCUAUCUUUUACAUGUUUCUUAUCCUUGUUUUCAUAACAAAAAAUGGGUAUCAUGAAAACCAUAGAAAAGACGAUUUCUGGACUCUCUAGUAGUUGUUUUCACGCCAAUCCCACUCUCUUUUUCAUUUCUCUGCAAGAAGACAAGCAGAAAAAUUCUGCUUACAGGGAGUGACGUGGGUUAGUACAAUAUUCUCCUAAUUGUGUCAACUGUGAAUAUUUUUAAAACGCAACAAGAGCAAGCAGCAUAAUUUCCGGAAUCACCCGCUUUUCAUGAACCUUUUUGUAGGACAAAAUUCAGGAAUUUGAGCUGGAAGAACCUUCUAGGCUUCUACUACAGCAGAUCAUGGUAAAGAUGGAUAUCAUGUUAUGAUUGUGGAUGCAGCAAUAUGCUCUCUCUACUGAUUAAUCUGGUGUGGAGGAAAGGCUUCUCCUUCUCUCAUCCACUUAGCUUUUCAGGAUCUCUGCUUGUGAUGAAAAUUAGAUGGAGCUGUGGCUCCAGCUUUUGUACUACACAUUCCUUUUCUUCAAGAUUGGUAAAAUACAGCAUUACAGAACUCGCCCUGCAUUCAGUACCUGCACCUCAACCUUUAUAUCACCCAUAUCCCAUGCCAUUUGAAAAAUUAACACAGUCCAACAACAAAUUUUCCGUUUAGGAAAAAUAUUAUCUGAUUCAUAUUUUCAUUUGAUUUUGAAUAUAAAAUAUGCACUUGUAGACUUAGUUUAACAUAAAUAAUUUUAUAAUUAUUUAUAUAAUUAAUUCCUGAAUUCACUAAUUCAAUGUGUCAUUGUAGGAAACAUCCAAUUGACUACCAAGAACAUCAUACUGUCUCAUGCAAACAGGAGAGGGGGUGGAUUGAAACAAAGAUGAUAUUCAUUCAAAAUGACAGCAACUACAGUACUGGACAAGUUCUAAUCAUCUGCAAGUUUAAAUUUUGAGAAGUCAAUUGUAGGUAGAACUACAAAAUAUCUAAACAUACAAAAGGUACAAGACGAGAUACAGAUGGCCAUAAGAAAAUUGCUAGCUCUAAAUCACUGAACUAAUACAGCAUUAAUCAUCCUGCACUAUCUCCUGCAACUAUAGAAUUACAAC
rnacentral:misc_RNA from 1 species